CCCCCUCAUAUCAAUAUGGGUCCCUAAAUGUCCCUCCCCCCAUUGUCAACUGGGGUCCCCAAUGUCCCCAUAUACCCCCCCCCCAUCAAUGGGGUCCACAGAUGGGGACACAAUGGGGCUCAAUGGAGCUCAGUGAGACACAAUGGGGACACAAUGGGGCUCAAUGGGGCUCAAUGGGACACAACGGGACACAACGGGACACACCGGGACACAACGGGACACAACGGGGCUCAAUGAGACACAAUGGGGACACAAUGGGGCUCAAUGGGUCUCAAUGAGACACAAUGGGGACACAAUGGGGCUCAAUGGGGCUCAAUGGAGCUCAAUGGGACACACUGGGGCUCAAUGGGACACAAUGGGGACACAAUGGGGCUCAAUGAGACACAAUGGGGACACAAUGAGACACAAUGGGGACACAAUGGGACACAAUGGGACGCAAUGGGGCUCAAUGGGACACAAUGGAGCUCAGUGAGACACACUGGGGCUCAAUGGGACACACUGGGGCUCAAUGGGGACACAAUGGGAACACAACGGGACACACUGGGGCUCAAUGGGACACAAUGGGAUUCAAUGGGGCUCAAUGGUUCUCAAUGUAAGCCACCGAACAGCGCCACCUGGUGCCGCAGUCCCGCACUGCACGCAGCGCUUCCCGCCGCUCCUUCACUUGUCCCCGCAGUGACACGGCGCGGUCCCGCAGCGCCACCACGCGGCUCCGCCUGCGAGCGACCUCCGCCGACAGCGCCCCCUGGGGACGGGACGUGGAACUGCACGGACUGUGCGGACAGACCCCCCCCAUAAACACCCCAAGGGACACCCCCCCUUCAACUUUCAAAACA
rnacentral:lncRNA from 1 species